ensembl:lncRNA
UCACAGUCAUCAAUUUUCCAUUAUUACAAAUAGGUCUUGGUGCUUUUCCCUCAAGACUUCCAAAAUUCCUCUAUUUCCAUCAAGGUGGGGCAAUAAACAUUGAAGAAUACCACUCUUCUCUUCCUGUUCCCUAGCUGUAGUUCCUAUCUCUGUGGAGCGGGUUAUACAUUUCCAUUCAUGCUGUAUGGGUACUUAGACAUUAAAUUGUGUAAAUCAAGAUACCUGUCUUCACAAAGCUUACUUUAUUGCAGGUAUGCAAAAGAUACCACAGAGUCUUUGCUGCGUUCAAAGGGACACAAGAUAACAUAUCUAGAUGUAUUGAUUAAAAGCUUUACAGGCUUUUGUUCCUUCCACUCAUGAAGGAUCAGGCAAGAAAAGUGUUUUGUAGUAAACGAGGGAAAUGAGCAGAGGAAAAAUAGAGACAGAGGGACUUCCCUGGGUGUUCAGUGGUUAGGACUCUGUGCUUCCAUUGCCGGGGGCAUGGGUCCAAUUCCUGGUUGGAGAACUAGGAUCCUGAGUGCCGCACAGCAUGGGCCGCCCCUACUCCCAACCCAUCAAAAAAGAUAGAGUUACAUCAUGGUAGAGGAAGAUAGCAAAAAAAUUAAAUCGACCAUAUGGAGGUACUGUUUUCUUUCAUCUUCUCUCCGAUACUUUGCCCCUGCUAAAGUUCUAUCCAACCCUCCAUAGCCUGCCUACAUAAGGAUGAUUAUGAUGACAUUUACCGAUCUAACCCACUUAUCUUCCUUUUUUUUCAGGAGCAAUUGCAGAAGUCUAAAGAUUUCUAGAAGGAAGGACUGCAGAAGACAUUUUUGUUCAAGGGAGGCAGGGACAGAAGCCACAGGAACACUCAGGAGAAGAGGAGAAAGAACCCAAUCAUUUUGGAGUUGGGAAGAGGGUAGAACUUGGCUUCUGAUUCUGUGAACUUGAACUUCAUAGAGGAACUGAAAGACUUCUCUAUAAAAAGGUAAGCAUUUGCAUUUGUUGAAAUUCAUAAGAUUAAACUGUUUUAGUCUCAUUACAAAGUCUCAUGACCUGAAAGGACUAUUCUUGUACAUUAUAAAAUUAAAAAAAAAAAAAUUACCCCCAGACCUUAGUGAGAAGAUGAGGAAGUUGCAGAUAGUUUCCACCAAGGAGCACUGUCACCAUCUAUCAGAUUUGUAAGUAAGCUGACCACCAAGUUUUACUCCUCUGUUUCCAGUAUAUGGAUAUAUUUUUCAUGCUGCCGAUUAUUUGGAGGUCAUUUUUAAAUAUACACUUUAAGAUGAAAUGCACAUUCCCAAGUAAUACUUGAGAAGCCAAAUCCAUCUUUGCAUGGAAAACCAGCAUUUAAAGCUGUUAUUGAUUUCUUCACAAGUGUAUGUUUUGGGCUUCCCUGGUGGCCCAGCAGUAAAGAAUCCACCUGCAAUGCAGGAGAUGCAGGAGACAUAAGUUCCAUUCAUUGGGAAGACCCCCUGGAGGAGGCUAUGGCAACCUACUCCAGUAUUCUUGCCUGGGAAUUCCCUUGGGCAGAGGAGCCUGGUGGGUUACAGUCCACAAGCAUAUGUUUGAAGGCAGCCAUGGUAAAGGGUCAAGAAGUCCUUUCUGACAGUCUUGAUUCUGAAUUAGUCCAACUGAUGCCACUGAAUCACAAAAUGUAGUUCUCUCAGUUGCCCUAAGCAGCUAACCACAAGUAGCUAAUACAGAGUGCUCUCAACAGGUUCAUCUGAUGGCAAGUUGAUGCUGAGAAACAAAGGAAAAAUUGGACAGACUCUUGAAAGCUUCAAAAUGUUGAUUAUGCAGCAGCAAUUAUUUACAAGUGGGAGGAUUAGUGUAUUUCAAGAAAGUAUUUCAGUUUUGUGUGUAUGUUUCUAUUUUUGUGUGUGUUUUUUGUUUGUUUUCACUUUUCAUUUAUAAAAAGUACAGCUUUCUAGUUGGAGGGGAUAUUCAAAACAUGGAAUGAGAAAGCACAGGGUUAUG